rnacentral:rRNA from 1 species
UUUAGAGGAAGUAAAAGUCGUAACAAGGUUUCCGUAGGUGAACCUGCGGAAGGAUCAUUAGUGAAUCUUCAAAAGUCGGCUCUGUGGAUUGUGCUGGUGGAGACACAUGUGCACGUCCGCAAGGUCGCAAACCCCACACACCUGUGCAUCUAUGACUCUGAGUGCCGCUUUGCAUGGCCUUGACGGGCCUGGCGCUCGAGUAUUUUCACACACUCUUGAAUGUAAUGGAAUGUCAUGUUGUGCGUAAUGUACAAAAGAAACAACUUUCAACAACGGAUCUCUUGGCUCUCGCAUCGAUGAAGAACGCAGCGAAAUGCGAUAAGUAAUGUGAAUUGCAGAAUUCAGUGAAUCAUCGAAUCUUUGAACGCACCUUGCACCCUUUGGUAUUCCGAAGGGUACGCCCGUUUGAGUGUCAUUGUAAUCUCACCACCAUUGACUUUGGUCUUUUGGUAUGUGGACUUGGAUGUUGCCGUCGAUGUCUACGGCUCGUCUGAAAUGCUUCAGUGUACCCCGCUUUGCGGCGUAUUCGGUGUGAUACAUCUUCACCGGAGUUGAUCCUUUUGGGGGUCGCGUCUGUAAUGUGUGGCUCUAUGCUUCCAACCGUCUCUCGAGACAAUCUCUGACAAUUUGACCUCAAAUCGGGUGGGACUACCCGCUGAACUUAAGCAUAUCAAUAAGCGGAGGAAAAGAAACUAACAAGGAUUCCCCUAGUAACGGCGAGUGAAGAGGGAAAAGCUCAAAUUUUGAAUCUGGUGUCUUUGACUCCCGAGUUGUAAUCUAGAGAAGUGUUUUCCGUGUCGGACCGUGCACAAGUUCCCUGGAACGGGGCGUCAUAGAGGGUGAGAAUCCCGUAUAUGGCACGGACUGCCGAUGCUUUGUGAUACACUCUCAACGAGUCGAGUUGUUUGGGAAUGCAGCUCAAAAUGGGUGGUAAAUUCCAUCUAAAGCUAAAUAUUGGCGAGAGACCGAUAGCGAACAAGUACCGUGAGGGGAAGAUGAAAAGCACUUUGGAAAGAGAGUGAAACAGUACGUGAAAUUGUUGAAAGGGAAGCGUUUGAAGUCAGUCGUAUCUGGCGGGAUUCAGCUGGGCUUUUGCCCGGUGUACUUCUCGUCCGAUGGGUCAGCAUCAAUUUCGACCGGGGGAAAAAGAUGUGGGGAAUGUGGCUGUCUACGGGCAGUGUUAUAGCCCCAUGUUGUAUGCCUCGGUUGGGAUUGAGGAACGCAGCGCGCCUAUAGGCCAGGGGCUACCCGCCUCUUGACACGCGCUUAGGAUGCUGGCAUAAUGGCUUUAAGCGACCCGUCUUG